ACGAGAAAGUCUCCGCAAGGGGAUGAGUAAAGUGGCGACCGGGUGAGUAACACGUAGCUAACCUACCCUCGAGUGGGGGAUAACCUGGGGAAACCUGGGCUAAUACCGCAUAACAUCCCGAUGUCUAUGACAAUGGGAGCAAAGGCCCGCAAGGGCCACUGGAGGAGGGGGCUGCGGCCGAUUAGCUAGUUGGUGAGGUAACGGCCCACCAAGGCGAUGAUCGGUAGCCGGCCUGAGAGGGCGCACGGCCACACUGGCACUGAAACACGGGCCAGACUCCUACGGGAGGCAGCAGUGGGGAAUUUUGCACAAUGCCCGAAAGGGUGAUGCAGCAACGCCGCGUGAGGGAUGAAGGCCUUCGGG
rnacentral:rRNA from 1 species